rnacentral:rRNA from 1 species
GAUGAACGCUGGCGGCGUGCCUAAACAUGCAAGUCGUGCGGCAGCAUGCCCUUCGGGGUGAUGGCGAGCGGCGGACGGGUGAGUAACGCGUAGGAAUGUACCCCAAAGUGAGGGAUAAGCACCGGAAACGGUGUCUAAUACCGCAUAUGCUCUUCGGAGUAAAGCUUUCGAGCGCUAUGGGAACAGCCUGCGUCCGAUUAGCUAGUUGGUGAGGUAAAGGCUCACCAAGGCGACGAUCGGUAGCUGGUUUGAGAGGAUGAUCAGCCACACUGGAACUGAGACACGGUCCAGACUCCUACGGGAGGCAGCAGUUAGGAAUCUUCCACAAUGGGCGAAAGCCUGAUGGAGCAACGCCGCGUGCAGGAUGAAGGCCUUCGGGUCGUAAACUGCUUUUGUAAGUUGAAGAAUAUGACGGUAACUUACGAAUAAGGAAUCGGCUAACUACGUGCCAGCCGCCGCGGUAAUU